UGUUUGUUAAAUCAAAUUAUUAUGACUUCGAAUAUCCAAUACAUCAUCAUACAAAACCAAAAAGAAAAGAUACAUAUCCAAACUUGUCCAUUAAGAGAAAAAACCCAUUGCAAUUUCAAGUUGUUACAUAAUAUCACGGUUUAUCCGAGUUCACCAUGUCACUUUCCAAGUUUCGAUCGUAAGCAUAUUCACAUAUUAGAAAUAAUCCAAAACCAUUACACCGAUAGUCCACAAAAGAAACCAUUACAAAUCUAUAUUACAUCAUUAUCAUAUAAACUUUACAAAAAAACAAAUUGCAAGAAAGAAGUUAAUUCUAAGCUCCACCCCUUCUUCAUACUUUAG